AGGACGCACACCGGCCUGUCUUUUCCCAUUUGCUAGCGCUGCAGCGCUCACCGGAAUGGAGUGCAAGGGCGAGCCUGGGGAUUACAUGGGAAGUAAAAGUCACGGGGCCGCGUGAUUGAUUAGGUGGGGCGCGUGGAACAAGACGAGGUUCAAUGGGAUUCCAAGAUUUUUCUAGUUUGAUUGAGGCGAUGGCUGAUCAUGCCACAGGUUUUAUUUAUUUGAGAGACGACAUGAGCUGGAGGGAAGGACAGAGGGAGAGGGAGAAGCAGGCUCCCCACCAAGCAGGGAGCCCGAUGUGGAGCUGGAUUCCAGGACCCUGAGAUCAUGACCUAAGCCGAAGGCAGACGCUUAACGGACUGAGCGACCGCAGACGGAUUUAAAUCCGAUCUCUAUGACCUCCUGGCUGUGUGACUUUAGGUUCCCCUCGGGUCCGCUCCACUCCGACAGCGACGUCACGUCACGUCAAGCGGGGCCUGCACAGGCCUCCGCCGACUCCGUCCUCUUAGCGGCAGUGACCUGCAAGAGCAUCUCCCCCGGGAGUUCCGGAAAGAAGCCUCAGCAUCGAGUUUCCAUUGGUUCCAAAGGCCCCGACCUCCGUCACAUGAUCAGCCAUAACCAAUCGCUGGCCAGCAACACUCUCAUGGGCUGGGCCUGA
rnacentral:lncRNA from 1 species